GUGGGGAAUUUUGGACAAUGGGCGCAAGCCUGAUCCAGCAAUGCCGCGUGCAGGAAGAAGGCCUUCGGGUUGUAAACUGCUUUUGUACGGAACGAAAAGACUCCUUCUAAUAAAGGGGGUCCAUGACGGUACCGUAAGAAUAAGCACCGGCUAACUACGUGCCAGCAGCCGCGGUAAUACGUAGGGUGCAAGCGUUAAUCGGAAUUACUGGGCGUAAAGCGUGCGCAGGCGGUUAUAUAAGACAGAUGUGAAAUCCCCGGGCUCAACCUGGGAACUGCAUUUGUGACUGUAUAGCUAGAGUACGGUAGAGGGGGAUGGAAUUCCGCGUGUAGCAGUGAAAUGCGUAGAUAUGCGGAGGAACACCGAUGGCGAAGGCAAUCCCUGGACCUGUACUGACGCUCAUGCACGAAAGCGUGGGGAGCAAACAGGAUUAGAUACCCCAGUAGUCC
rnacentral:rRNA from 1 species